rnacentral:tRNA from 1 species
GCAGUGGUGGUUCAGUGGUAGAAUUGUCACCUUCCAUGUGGGAGACACAGGUUGGAUUUCUGCCAGUGCA